rnacentral:tRNA from 1 species
UCAUCGGUGGUUCAGUGGUAGAAUGCUCGCCUGCGGCCACGGCCACGCGGGCGGCCCGGGUUCGAUUCCCGGCCAAUGCA